GCCCAGGUAGCUCAGUUGGUAGAGCAGCGGAUUGAAAAUCCGCGUGUCGGCGGUUCAAGUCCGUCCCUGGGCACCA
rnacentral:tRNA from 1 species